UACGUAGGGGGCUAGCGUUGUCCGGAUUUAUUGGGCGUAAAGAGCGUGUAGGCGGCCAGGUAGGUCUGGUGUGAAAACUCGAGGCUUAACCUCGAGAUGUCAUCGGAAACCAUCUGGCUAGAGUCCGGAAGAGGAGAGUGGAAUUCCUGGUGUAGCGGUGAAAUGCACAGAUAUCAGGAAGAACACCCGUGGCGAAGGCGGUUCUCUGGGACGGUACUGGACGCUGAG
rnacentral:rRNA from 1 species